GACGGAAGGAAAUUUUAUUCUCAGUAGAGAUUCUUUUGAUCUUUGUUAGUGUGUACUAGUUGUACUUUCACGUUCCUAAUUAAAACAAUUACGUAUUAAUAUCGUUUAUUGUUAUAAUUAGCUAUGGUAAAUGAGUGUAUUUUCUGUGGUUUGUGUACGAGCGGAGAGUUACGUGGUGUAGCGGUUGCGGUACACUGUCUGUUUACAUUACGCCGUGAUGUAAACAAUGUACGGAACAGUUGGUCCUAAUUCUGCUACAGUCCACGAAAUAUCCGAUAUACAAGUAAGCUAGAAGAAUGAAUGUUUUAAUAUGGAGAUGAUGGAGAGAAAGCAGCUUCCAUGCAAGUCAUUAAAGCGUGCUAGAGAAUUCGUGGAAAUUCAAACCGACGAAUGCAGUGCCGUUCGUAACUUUGUGAUGAAGUGCUUACCUGAGGUGCCACGAGUCGCUGGAUCGAUCGUCCUCAAUGGACUCCCUUGUGUUUACGUCACCAGUGCCCAACAACUAGUAUAGCUUACAUCAAAAGUAGUGACAGUCACUGGUUGGGCCGGAGAAAAACUCGAAUCCACGAAGAGCGAUCGAUCCUGAAACCUAUCAUACAUCAGGAGAACUCUCUGUCGUUAAGCUACUUCCUGUCCAAGUUAUUCUGGAUGAGUGAUUUAGUAAGUUUGCAAAGAACUAGGUUCCAGACAGGAAUCAAAUGGCUGCCAAACAUAUUAUGUAAAGUAGUAUCAAAUAAGCCACAGAGAAACACUUCUAAUUUUGCAACAACGUCGUAUUUCUCCUUCCGAGUUCCUUCCCUAUUUCGGCUCUUUCGCUUGUUUUGCAGUUUAAUGUUCCGUUAUCUUCUUUAUUGUGCCCUCUUUCUGUCUCUCUGUCUCGGUCUCUCUCUGUAAUGCUCUCUUUCUCAGUUUCUCUCUGGGGGUUUUCUUUUUCGGUCUAUCUACUUCUCGCUGUCUUUUUUUGUUUUUUGUUUUAUCUCUUUCUCUAUUUAUGACCAAUAUCUUGUUUUUCGCUAACACAUUUUAAAACUGUUGUACGUUUGUUAAGUAGCUGGUAGGGUGGUGUUUAAAAUUUAUACAAUAUAGCUUAAUCUUUGCUGUCGGUCCAAAUUAAAUUACAAUUUUUUAAGAUUAAUUUUUCCUUUUUAUAUAUUUAAAUACGUAUUUUAUAUUCCUAUUUUUUCUUUACAAUAGGACGAUUACAUAUUGCCUAGUCAUGUUUUAUCCAUACUGGUCUAGAUGAGUAUUUUUAGAUUCGUGUUAUUGUUAGUAAUGGUUUAUGUAUAUUUUGUUUGUGUGUUAACGAAUUUCCCGUAAUAUUAUUUUCCUUUUCCUGGUCUUUCCAUCAUCGUUGACAAAAUAUAUUAGCUGUCAGUUAUUGGUCCGAGGUUUUUAACGCAAGUAUAUACGUCUGUUACGUGCAUCACUUAGAGAAGAAAAAAAAACCUGUCGUUGUUGACAAAAUAUAUUAGUUGUCAGUUAUUAGUGUCAGGUUUUUAACGCAAGUAUGUGUGUCUAUGACGUGUGUCUAUGACGUGUGUCACUUAAAGAAGAAUGGAAUGGAAUGGGAACUCUAUUUACGUGCCCAUAUCCAAUAAAGGUUCAGGCACGCCUACCACGGGUCCAGCCUCUGACAUCGCCAGUGGGUGGUUCCGGGGAAAACUUAAAGAAGAAAAACCUGUCAAACUACUAGUGCGUUAUAUAGGAUCUCCACGAGUACUCAAGUACUAGCGGACUGGCCGAGUCAAGCAAGUCUGAAGUCCGUUCACAGGACUCGAGUACCCCUGCAAAGAAGAGCACUCUCAUUUAAUUUCAUUGGUUUAACGUCAUUUUGCCAUGAACCGUUUGCCUCCGGUUACGUUAUAGGGCCAUGCAUGUGUGGAAUGCAACACAAUGGCAUGCUUCGGCAUCAUUGUUCAGCACUAGGAUUAAGACGCACAAUGCUAGUUUACUUUAUUCCAUAGUCUCAUUAUCAUCUAGUGUCGGUUACUCGGGUCCGGGUCGAGUUUUACCCUCGAGUACUCGAGUCCAAUAAAGAAAAGAAGAAACAGAGCCAUGAAUGUGAUUAUUUUAAUUUUAUUUACAAUUGGGGUAUUCCCCCACGAAUUGGACUACCGGGUACAUAUAAAUUAAACCAAAUAAAAGAAGGAAGAAAUAACAAACAAAAAACCAACAACAACAACCACCAUAGUAAUCUAAUAGUCUAAAUUUAUAGGUACAUUCCUGACUUUGCUGCAAUUUUUAAGAUGUUAUCAACUAUCAGAGACUUUAUAACGAUUGUAAUUACAUAUCAAAUCAAAUAUUAGUGGCUGUAUAUUAAACGUGUUUCCGAUCGUUCUAA